UUGCAGCGGGCAGGCGAGGAAGAAGAAGAAGAAGCAGCAAUGGAAUGCGCGGCGAGGGGAAGGGGCGGUCGGUGCGUGGGGCCAGCAACCAGGCGUUGCGCUCGUUGCGGAGCCGUUGCUUAUUGCUCUCUGUCUCACCAGAUUUCACACUGGAGUGUUCACAAGGACGAGUGUGAAAGGUUGGAGCAACAAAUGGACCGUGCCAAUGUCUUGAAUGAUUUUCCUUUCACAUUUUCUCAGGAAUCUACGGUUCAGGUGUGUGAAAAACAGGAGACUCGGUGUUCAUUCCUGAUAAAACAGGGCAUCCACAGAGCAGGAAUGUGGAUGUAUGAAUGCCAUUGUGGAGAAUCGGUUGCUUCCUUGAAUGAUUCAAGGUUGAUUGAAAGUUGGAACCUUCCAAGUAUUUUGUGCCCGUGUAAAGGUCCUUCAUCUCCACUCACAAAGCGAUUGAAUAGUUGGGGUGACUACUAUGAAUGGAGGGGCAUUCCACUACAGUCUCCUGCUGCUUUGCUGCUACAUUGGCCACUUACACUAUAUCAAGCCUUUCAGCUAUCUGCUUCCAGGAGCUUGAGUUGUGAAACCUAUACCCGACUCCACAUACACUAUCUUGGGCCUGAUAAAGAGCUCACUCAACUUGCUGUCUUUGGGGAGUUGCAAGCUCUUUUUCCAGAAGUACAAUUGCAUUUAGAGCUCGUUGGACCUGCAGUUCCGCAAUGUAGGGAUGGUGAGAGAGUUGAUCUUCACAGUUAUGCUCGUUGUGGUGACACUGAUUGCAGUUGCAAAUCUUCAAGUGACAAUUUAAGUUUGCAUGCUGGCAAUAUAACUCCACCAGUCACAUUAAGACUCUAUAAAGGAUUUCCUUCCUCAUUUAGUUAUUGCUCCAAAUGCUGGUAUUGCUGCUUACAAGAGCUGGUUGCCUUCUAUUGUACACCUUCGAUUCCCUUGCAUAUAAAUGUUUUUGCUUGUGUCCGUUCAAAGAUGCUCUUGAUCAGGGAUGACGUUUUAACUUGAAAAACUAAGGUGAUGAUUAGCCACAACCCUAAUGGAAAGGGUUAAGGGAGUCAUUUAAUUCUUGGGAUACAUCAUGUAAGAGCAAUCCCAUAUCCCAAAACAGGUUAGGGCGGAUGGAGUUUUAGGUCACACAUCACCCUGAACUUUCCCAGGUUAUAUAAUAAAAUAUUUUCAAUAUUCAUGUCACCUAGUAAUAAUGAUGUUAGAAUAACUAAUUAGGUAUGCAUAUGAAAUAUUAAAGUUUUAUCAAUUCUUUAAAUAUAUGUUCCCAUUUUUAGUAUCAAUUCUUUAAAGUUGCAUGUGAGUGAAUAUCGUUCCAUCCCGCUUAGCGUGGAUAGGAAUGUUCAACCAAACAUCAAUACAUGGGGAUUGAGGAGCACUUAAACCUGUGGUAGAUAUGGGAUGAGCAUGAGAAAAGAGUUUCCUAUUAGGGUUAGGGAAAGCUUCGAUGAAUUCGUCCUCAAUUUAACCUGGUGCCAUCCUCUACUACCAAGGACAAGUGCACUAGUGUUCCAGCAAAUUGAUAUCCUUAGGGUUUGUGAAUUUUCACUUGUUGAAAUUUGAUUGUGCAUUUCAGGAGCUAAUAAAGGAGAAGAACAUCCCAGCAGUUUUUACUGAUUACUGUGAAGAAGCUUCCCAUUUGGCUGCUUGCUGCAUAAGCUCCAUAACCGGCCAUCCACCAUCAAUCCCCAUUCAGCUAAAUCCUUUCAGGCAACCAAUGGUAGU